rnacentral:lncRNA from 1 species
UGUAGGGAUAUAUGGGGCUCUAUGGGGUUUUAUGGCGUCUCUAUGGAGUCUUAUGGGGUCCAUAAGGGAUCUUAUGGGGUCUCUAUGGGGUCGCUAUGGGGUCCCUAUGGGUCUCUAUGGGGUUUCUAUGGGUCUCUAUAGGGUUUUAUGGUGUCUCUAUGAGUCUCUAUGGGGUCUUAUGGGGUCUCUAUGGGUCCCUAUGGGGUCUUAUGUGGUCCCUAUGGGUCUCUAUGGGGUCUUACGGGGUCCCUAUGGGGUCUUAUGGGGUUUUAUGGGGUCUCUAUGGGUCCCUAUGGGGUCUUAUGGGGUCUCUAUGGGGUUUUAUGGAGUCCAUAUGGGAACUUAUAGGGUCUCUAAGGGUCCCUAUGGGGUCUUAUGGGAUCCCUAUGGGGUCUUAUGGGGUCUCUAUGGGGUCUCUAUGGGUCCCUAUGGGUCUCUAUGGGUCUCUAUGGGGUCUCUAUGGGUCCCUAUGGGUCUCUAUGGGGUCUCUAUGGGGUCUUAUGGGGUUCCUAUGGGGUUUUAUGGGGUCCAUAUGGGGUCUUAUGGGGUCCCUAUGGGUCUCUAUGGGGUCUUAUGGGUCUCUAUGGGUUCUUAGGGGGUCCCUAUGGGGUUUUUAUGGGGUCCCUAUGGGGUUUUUAUGGGGUCCCUCUGUGUCCCCACGCGUGGCGCGCUGUUCGCAGGUCUCGCAGCAGGGGGCGCUGU